rnacentral:rRNA from 1 species
GACGAACGCUGGCGGCGUGCUUAACACAUGCAAGUCGAACGGAAAGGCCCUGCUUUUGUGGGGUGCUCGAGUGGCGAACGGGUGAGUAACACGUGAGUAACCUGCCCUUGACUUUGGGAUAACUUCAGGAAACUGGGGCUAAUACCGGAUAGGAGCUCCUGCUGCAUGGUGGGGGUUGGAAAGUUUCGGCGGUUGGGGAUGGACUCGCGGCUUAUCAGCUUGUUGGUGGGGUAAUGGCUUACCAAGGCUUUGACGGGUAGCCGGCCUGAGAGGGUGACCGGCCACAUUGGGACUGAGAUACGGCCCAGACUCCUACGGGAGGCAGCAGUGGGGAAUAUUGCACAAUGGGCGGAAGCCUGAUGCAGCAACGCCGCGUGCGGGAUGACGGCCUUCGGGUUGUAAACCGCUUUCGCCUGUGACGAAGCGUGAGUGACGGUAAUGGGUAAAGAAGCACCGGCUAACUACGU